CCGCGCGCAGCCCCGGUUCCCGCCCGCGCCUCUCCCUCCGCCCCUCCCGGCAAACUGAGGGAGCCGGCUCCGGCCUUGGCCAGCUGAGAAAGGGGCUCCCACAGUGCAGCGGCGGGCUGAAGGGCUCCUCAAGCGCGGCCAGAGUGGGCGCCAAAGCCAAGGAGGCGCCGAGAGCGAGCAAGAGCUGCAGAGGGCUGCCAGCACGCUGUCACCUCUCAGAGUGAGAUACUGGUAUGGCUUGUAUCUUAUGAGAAGGGAAAAUGUGGACACAGAAAGAUAGUGGAAGAUAAUGUAAAGACACAGGAGAAGACAGCCAGCUACAAGCCAAGGUCACUAUACAAGUUUCAGCACUCACAGGGGCCUGUGUGAUUGAGGUACCCUGAAGUUUAAACGUUCUGAGCAAGCUUCAUGGUGAAUCUACCUCUGGGCCUUCUCCUGCUGCAGCACACUGGCUCUGGAUGGAAUCCCAGACCAGCAGAACGCAAUUUCAGAAAACUUGGCAUUGGAAGGUAGGUUGGAGGUGGGCAGGGAGCACAGCAAGAGGGAAUUAAGACUGCAGCCAAAACCCAAAGCCUGGAGUACCCCACAAGCCUGGAGUGGCCCCAAACUAGAAAAAAACAGCUCCAGCCACUCUGCUGAGCUUUGAUUUUCAGCAUCAGCACUGACAUUCUGGACAGGGUAACUGGCAGGAAUUUAGGACUGGGGUGGUGGAAGCCAGGCAGCAAGGAGAGGUAUGCCUCAUAGGUCAACAUGAUCACCCUCCCAUGUUCCUCAGGAACAUUAAGUCCUAGUGAGAGAUGACAGUGUGCUGGCAGCCCUCCAGCCCUCGCUCGCUCUUGGCGCGGCCUCGGUGCCC
rnacentral:lncRNA from 1 species